GCCACCCAGCGGAGGAAACUCAUUUCGGCCGCUUGUACCCGUGAUCUUGUCCUUUCGGUCAUGACCCAAAGCUCAUGACCAUAGGUGAGGAUGGGAACGUAGAUCGACCGGUAAAUCGAGAGCUUUACCUUCUGGCUCAGCUCCUUCUUCACCACAACGGAUCGAUACAGCGUCCGCAUUACUGAAGACGCCGCACCGAUCCGCCUGUCGAUCUCACGAUCCACUCUUCCCUCACUCGUGAACAAGACUCCGAGGUACUUGAACUCCUCCACUUGGGGCAAGAUCUCCUCCCCAACCCGGAGAUGGCACUCCACCCUUUUCCGGACGAGAACCAUGGACUCGGAUUUGGAGGUGCUGAUUCCCAUUCCAGUCGCUUCACACUCGGCUGCGAACCGAUCAAGUGAGAGCUGUAGAUCUUGGCCAGAUGAAGCCAUCAGGACCACAUCAUCUGCAAAAAGCAGAGACCUAAUCCUGCAGCCACCAAACCAGAUGCCCUGACUGCGCCUAGAAAUUCUGUCCAUAAAAGUUAUGAACAGAAUCGGUGACAAAGGGCAGCCCUGGCGGAGUCCAACCCUCACUGGAAACGGGUCCGACUUACUACCGACAAUGCGGACCAAGCUCUGACACUGAUCAUACAGGGAGCGGACCGCUGCUGGUGGCCAUGAUUGUAAACAAUGUGCGGAUGUGAGGAGCUCCACAACCUGUGACGUCACGCUACUCGUCUGCUACUUCCGGUACAGGCAAGGCUUUUUUAUCAGCGACCAAAAGUUGCGAACUUUAUCGUCGAUGUUCUCUACUAAAUCCUUUCAGCAAAAAUAUGGCAAUAUCGCGAAAUGAUCAAGUAUGACACAUAGAAUGGACCUGCUAUCCCCGUUUAAAUAAGAAAAUCGCAUUUCAGUAGGCCUUUAACCAGUUUGGAGACUUCGUCUUAGACUAGUCAGGAAGUAGAAGAGCAGAAUUCUGCUUCUGAUUGAAUUGACAGCUGAAAAGAUGUGAUAUGAGUGAAGAUGCACCUUCUGGAUGGACUUCCUUCACCAGAGUGAGGUGUUGGCUUAGCAUGAGCAGCGUAAGCAGCUCACGGUGCGUUUUGUGCUCCCACAGCUGGUGACGCUGGUAACGAGCUCUCAGAGAGACGUGAAGGCUGAAGGCUGAGUGAGACACAGCAGUCGGCACACAGAUGCUUUGUGCACUGGAACACAGAGAGAUGUCUCCAUCGCUGAGGGACCUCAUCACACUUGGACAUUUAUGCACUAAUUGCUCCUCAUCUCAUCCAUCAUGUCUUCUUUGGCUCUUUAUGGCUGAGAAAAUCUGCAUUUUUCAACAAUAUUUUGCCAGUCAAUCACGUUGAUGUUGAUCUUUGUGUCCAUGUAGUUGUGAUGUCAUCAUUUGGGGCUCAUGUGUCAUCACAUUGACAAGGAUUUCUUCUUUCCUUUUCAAACCAAUAGACAGCUGCUUAUCAGUGAAUAUCACCUUGUGUCACAUGGCAUCAUUAUUUCUACUAAUAUUUUGGAACAGUAGUACCAUUUUUAAGUACUUUAGUAUGUUAAUGUUAAUUGUUUAUGUAACAUUUAAGAAUGAUGAUUAUGAGAACUGCUGUCCAGUUGUUAUAUCUUGUUUUCUGAUGACAUUAGUCUCAUUUGCAAUGCAGUUGCACUUCCAAGGCCAUUAGAUGGCAGCACUGUAUAACUAUUUGUGGUAUAUUGUCAAACUAGAAAGUGGCUUUUUUUCAGGAAGAGGAAUUUGUUAGCUUGCGCCCUACAAAGUGCCAAUACUGUAAGAAUUGUCCUCAUUACACAAAACUGUAAAAUUCUAACUAUAAUCUUAGUUGUAGUUUCCUUGACCAAAUUCCAAGGUGUUGAAAUCGCCAUGUAAAAUCGCCCAUGCUAAUAGUAGCCUGUCUAUGGCAAAUCCUAUGUAAAUUAGCAAUAAGCUAGCACAUUUUGAACGAGUGUAACAUUACUUUACGUUUGAGUGUUUUUUUAUGAAGCACACUUUGUUGGUGUUGAAAAUGGCAAAAUGACUUAGAGGGAGUUUGGCUGAGUCCGGCCUGAGUGCUGCUUGAGUGAUUGUUUACGUGUUUAGUCUGAAAGCAGACAUGACCAGUCUGAAAACGGACAUGACGUCACAUGCAACAAAGGUACGGAACUAUGGCACCGUUUGAUUUUACGUGAAUUGAUAGUACCGAGGGAAUUGGGUCAUUACCUACAAAAGCACUGAAUUGGGCAGCCAACCCUACCAGUUAGUGUGACGGAGGAGGACAGUGACACAACAUUUUUAUGACAAAGCGUUGCAAAAUAUUUAUAUUUUUUUAAACAAUUUGCUGUUUUUCCGUUCCUUUUUGCAUAGUCAUAUUUUUGCUUGAUUGCCAAAGAUGGUGAGGAUGUCAUUUGGGAAGUAAACAAGGAAGGCCGUUCAUAUACUCUUGAAUAUUCAGUGUUUUAUGUGUGCUAUGUUUCAUGUACAUUCUGGCUGUUUUAUUCAGUAAAAACUUGUCAAAUACAA